GCCCAGGGGGCUGCCUUCGCCAUCGGUAUUCCUCCACAUCUCUACGCAUUUCACUGCUACACGUGGAAUUCUACCCCCCUCUGCCAUACUCUAGCCUGCCAGUCACCAAUGCAGUUCCCAGGUUGAGCCCGGGGAUUUCACAUCGGUCUUAGCAAACCGCCUGCGCACGCUUUACGCCCAGUAAUUCCGAUUAACGCUCGCACCCUACGUAUUACCGCGGCUGCUGGCACGUAGUUAGCCGGUGCUUAUUCUUCCGGUACCGUCAUCCCCCGGCUAUAUUAGAACCAAGGAUUUCUUUCCGGACAAAAGUGCUUUACAACCCGAAGGCCUUCUUCACACACGCGGCAUUGCUGGAUCAGGCUUUCGCCCAUUGUCCAAAAUUCCCCACUGCUGCCUCCCGUAGGAGUCUGGGCCGUGUCUCAGUCCCAGUGUGGCUGGUCGUCCUCUCAGACCAGCUACUGAUCGUCGCCUUGGUAGGCCUUUACCCCACCAACUAGCUAAUCAGCCAUCGGCCAACCCUAUAGCGCGAGGCCCGAAGGUCCCCCGCUUUCAUCCGUAGAUCGUAUGCGGUAUUAAUCCGGCUUUCGCCGGGCUAUCCCCCACUACAGGACAUGUUCCGAUGUAUUACUCACCCGUUCGCCACUCGCCACCAGGUGCAAGCACCCGUGCUGCCGUUCGACUUGCAUGUG
rnacentral:rRNA from 1 species